UGACCAUUGUUUGUCGAUAAGUGCCCUGCCAUUGCCUGGCGACCAGUGGAAACCAAACCGAUGGACAGGCGUGAAGACUCAACAAUGUCCCCAUUUGGGAUUAAAUGUCAUCAAUUUUUUGUGUUUUCUGUUACAAGCACUUUUGCCACCAGGCAUUGACUCUAUGGAAACAUAUGAAAUGUCAGACUGGAAUUCCCCUGAACUAUUGUUUUUUGGGGGGGCGGCAAAAGAAAGGAAAAGAAGAUGAGAGGCAAAGUAUUGUUGUUGGCGUGAGGCUGCUGUCUGGUUUCCAAAACAGUUCCAGACGCUGCAGGAAGACACGACAUCCGCGAGAAAAGACGGCACGCGGAUGACAACAGUGUGACUAAUCGACAUUAGACAGAGCGCCCUCUUUUCAAAAUCAAGACAGCCUUUUAAAACAUCAUCAAAAAUACUUCUUAACCCUUGGAAGCCUCCUUGCAAUGGAAAAAUGUCACGUCAAGUCCACUAGAUGGCAGCAUCCCCCCGAAAACAGAAUACGCUCAGGUACACUUCUUUGUGCACGUUUUCACGCUUUCAAAAUAAACUGCCCCUCCACCCCGAAAUAGUUUUUUUUUUGAGCAGUACUGUAUAUAAUUUCUAUUCUCACAUCAGAGCUGUGUGGUCAAUUGAAAUCUCAACCCCAAAAUACGAGUACAUAACGGGGACUAAAGCUAUGGACUGAGGAUUUUAUCGCAAGGGUUCAAUUACAAGAUCUAAUUUUGAUGUAUUAAAGUGAGUGUCAGAGCAGGACGCAGUUCCAGGGGCUCCAGUCCUUGUGGCGCUCCCAUCGGACCAGGACCAGGCUGUACAGGUCGCUGCUGCCGCUCAGGGCCGAGCGGGACCCCCAGAUGACCUCCACCAGUCUGUCAGGCGCGCGAGACCACCUGCAGGAUGAAGGGAAUGAAGUUGUCCUUGUUGAGGAGCAGCUCGGCGUCCCUCAGCCUCUUGA